CAGUCGCCGCGGUAAUACGUAGGUGGCGAGCGUUGUCCGGAUUUAUUGGGCGUAAAGGGAGUGUAGGCGGUCUUUUAAGUCUGAUGUGAAAGCCCACGGCUCAACCGUGGAGGGUCAUUGGAAACUGGGAGACUUGAGUGCAGAAGAGGAGAGCGGAAUUCCAUGUGUAGCGGUGAAAUGCGUAGAGAUGUGGAGGAACACCAGUGGCGAAGGCGACUCUCUGGUCUGUAACUGACGCUGAGGAGCGAAAGCGUGGGGAGCGAACAGGAUUAGAUACCCCCGUAGUCCCUGUCUCUUAUAA
rnacentral:rRNA from 1 species